rnacentral:rRNA from 1 species
AACGAACGCUGGCGGCAGGCUUAACACAUGCAAGUCGAGCGCCCCGCAAGGGGAGCGGCAGACGGGUGAGUAACGCGUGGGAACGUGCCCUUUGCUACGGACUAGCUCCGGGAAACUGGAAUUAAUAACGUAUGAGGACUUUGGGGGAAAGAUUUAUCGGCAAAGGAUCGGCCCGCGUUGGAUUAGCUAGUUGGUGGGGUAAAGGCCUACCAAGGCGACGAUCCAUAGCUGGUCUGAGAGGAUGAUCAGCCACAUUGGGACUGAGACACGGCCCAAACUCCUACGGGAGGCAGCAGUGGGGAAUAUUGGACAAUGGGCGCAAGCCUGAUCCAGCCAUGCCGCGUGAGUGAUGAAGGCCUUAGGGUUGUAAAGCUCUUUCACCGGAGAAGAUAAUGACGGUAUCCGGAGAAGAAGCCCCGGCUAACUUCGUGCCAGCCGCCGCGGUAAUAC